rnacentral:rRNA from 1 species
CUACGGGGUGCUCCAGUGAGGAAUAUUGCACAAUGGGGGGAACCCUGAUGCAGCAACGCCGCGUGGAGGAUGACGCAUUUCGGUGUGUAAACUCCUUUUAUAUGUCAAGAAAAUGACGGUAGCAUAUGAAUAAGCACCGGCUAACUCCGUGCCAGCAGCCGCGGUAAUACGGGGGGUGCAAGCGUUACUCGGAAUCACUGGGCGUAAAGGACGCGUAGGCGGGUUGGAAAGUCAGGUGUGAAAUCCUACAGCUUAACUGUAGAACUGCACUUGAAACUUCUAAUCUAGAGUAUGGGAGGGGGAGAUGGAAUUAGUGGUGUAGGGGUAAAAUCCGUAGAUAUCACUAGGAAUACCGAAAGCGAAGGCGAUCUCCUGGAACAUUACUGACGCUAAGGCGUGAAAGCGUGGGGAGCAAACAUGAUUAGAUACCCUCGUAGUC